rnacentral:rRNA from 1 species
UGGUGGAGUGAUUUGUCUGGUUAAUUCCGUUAGCGAACGAGACCUUAACCUGCUAAAUAGUAACGCAUAUCCCCGGAUAUGCGCGUACUUCUUAGAGGGACUUUGCGUUCUCUAGCGCAAGGAAGUUUGAGGCAAUAACA